GGGCAGCGCCGACAGGCGCCCAGAUGGGUGCCACAGCUGUCCCUUUGGGCACAAAGCAGCUCCCCUUAGCCAAAUAAGGAGGGAGAGGCGUCUCAGCUCCACAUGCCCAUUGCAUAAUUGUCAAAUAUGCCUGUAAUACAAUUGAGUCAGAGGGAAUUAUUGCUGCAGCACAGUUGCUUUGGGAAGCCUUCCUCUUGUAGGCUGAACUGCAACUAUCAAAUCUCUGUUGGUUUGUCUGAAAGAAGAUCAUGGCAGUGAUGUCUUUUCACUAAAAAGAAUAGUUUCCCUCUUUGCUGUCAUUGAAAAGAAAUACCAACUAGCCAAACUCAUUCUUUACCAAGUCUCCCUGAAAAUGGAACAUUUUUGGACAAAAUAACUGUAAUUCAAACUGCAGCAGCCAGUGCUGUGCCUGCUUUGGUACCCAGCCAGUGAAUUUUCAAGUAAACACCCUCCAGGACUGUUCUCCAUUUGGAUUUAUUAGUCAUUACCAAGAAAAGAUAAUUAGCACUUCUGAAGCAUUGUGCUAAUCAGCAGCACGAAGUGUUUCCAAUAGAAACGGCCGGGGUCCUUGCGUGGCGCAGGAUCUGCGGCUCCGCGGUACUCCCUGUACGGAAUGAGCACACGGUGGGCAGACCUCAGCUGGGGGAAUGCUCACAACCAACUGCUCCAGGGGCGCUAAUGACACUGUACACGGGGCAAGGCAGGGAGGGGAGCUGUUCCCUGGCCUGCUGGGCUUCUCCUUCUGUUAUCCUGCAGGCAGAGUCACUUUUGUUACAAUGUGCAAUCCUCCUUGUUGGUCAAAGGCAACGGCACACACCACUCCUUUACUGCACAACAGGAAAAUAGAAGAGCAUUUCAAGCCAAUACAAUACCCUUCCAGCCAAGAGAUACUUUGCAUCCUCUGGGAAGCAUGCAGGAAAUCUCGGGAUUGAGUCCAGCAUGUAUGCAAAGUACUUUGCCUGUGGGAGCUGCGGUGUGGUGAGCUGGUAGAGAGUACCAAAAACCUCUGAUUCCUGCUGAUGGUGGCCUUUACUCAGGCACAUCUUCCCUGCCACACAUGGAGCAGAGGCUCUUAGGACUGAGACUCCAAUGCCAGCAACACUCAUUAAUACACACAAGAUGGGACCACCCUGGCAACAUCUGACUUGUUGAUGCACUCAAAGUAUUCAUUAAUGUUUGCCCCUCUUCCAGGAA